ACCUCCAAGCAGACUUUAGACCAGGCUACUCUGACAUCAGGCUGGUCCCAGUCAUUGUUUGUGACCUAUAGUCAACCUCCAAGCAGACUUUAGACCAGGCUACUCUGACAUCAGGCUGGUCCCAGAUCUUGUUUCUGCCAUAUAGUCAACCUCCAAGCAGACUUUAGACCAGGCUAGUCUGACAUCAGCCUGGUCCCAGAUCUGUUUGUGCUCUCUUUCCACCUCACUGUGGAACUGUCACGUCAAAAAAAUUACUUGCUUGGCUUGACAGUGGCAUCAAUGGAGUUGACUAUACGUCACACACUGUUCUGGACCAGGCUACUCUGACAUCAAUGGAGUUGACUAUAUGUCACAAACAGAUCUGGGACCAGGCUACUCUGACAUUACACAGCCAGGGACAAUAGAGAAAUGUGGCUAAAUGGUGUCUUGUCCAUAUCCUGUUCGUGUGUAUACCUGUACAGGAUGGUCAGUUUUGAUGUCCUUCUCCUUUCUCUUCUGACCUCACCUGUGCUCCUGGUGGCAUCCUGGCUUUUCUAUUGGACAAUACAGUAUCGGGGUCUUCAUCGGAGAGAGGACUUGACUCAGCGGAGAUGGAGAAGACAGGAUGGACAUCGGUCAACAGUGAGCCAGGGUAUCACCGGGAAGUGGCGUUAAUUUACGAGUCCCCUUACCUCCUGAGAAGACUGUGGAAGUUACCUUGGUUCAGGACGACCCCUUUCUCCGCCUGUAGGAUCACAGAUCAUGGAGACAUACUGUAGAGUCCCGUCGGAGGGUAUUGGGUCUCGUUUUAAAGUUAAAGUUGUGUGGAAUUGAUAUGUAAAGACAAGGGACUGUGGACAAUAGGCAUAAUAUGGAAUUAGCCCAUGAUGUACUGUAUAUAUAAACAUAUAAUAAUGUA